ensembl:snRNA Gm27723 predicted gene, 27723
AAGUGAACACAGCUCUUUUAGGAUUUUCCUAAUGGAAUUUCUGACCUUGGUUGGAAAUCCCAA